rnacentral:piRNA from 1 species
UGAUCUCAAGAGACUGCUUUCUGUAGGUC